CGCUCCGCAUUCGAUCCGGGUGCCCUGUCAUAGCUUCAUAUGACAGGGUGAAACGGGAAGUCCGGUGACGUCGUCCGCCUUGCGCGCGCACGACCAUUCCGGCGCAGCCCCCGCUGCUGUGAGCCUGACGAAUCCGCCAACACGCCACUGAGCCUUGCGCUCGGGAAGGCCGGCGGAGGAGGAAGACGGCAAGCCAGAAGACCGGCCCGAUCGAGUACGGAACC
rnacentral:ncRNA from 2 species